GUUCACCUACGGGGGGCAGCAGUGAGGAAUAUUGGUCAAUGGGCGGAAGCCUGAACCAGCCAAGUCGCGUGAGGGAAUAAGGCCCUACGGGUCGUAAACCUCUUUUGCCGGGGAGCAAGGGCGGGGACGUGUCCCGGCCCGGAGAGUACCCGGAGAAAAAGCAUCGGCUAACUCCGUGCCAGCAGCCGCGGUAAUACGGAGGAUGCGAGCGUUAUCCGGAUUUAUUGGGUUUAAAGGGUGCGCAGGCGGCCUAUUAAGUCAGCGGUAAAAGCCCGGGGCUCAACCCCGGCGAGCCGUUGAAACUG
rnacentral:rRNA from 1 species